rnacentral:rRNA from 1 species
AGUGGCGGACGGGUGAGUAACACGUAAGAAUUUGCCUUUAGGAGGGGGACAACAACUGGAAACGGUUGCUAAUACCCCAUAUGCUUUCGAGUGAAAUGGAUUUUUCCGCCUAAAGAGAAGCUUGCGGCUGAUUAGCUUGUUGGUGAGGUAAUGGCUCACCAAGGCGACGAUCAGUAUCUGGUUUGAGAGGAUGAUCAGACACACUGGAACUGAGACACGGUCCAGACUCCUACGGGAGGCAGCAGUGGGGAAUUUUCCGCAAUGGGCGAAAGCCUGACGGAGCAAUCUCGCGUGAGGGAUGACGGCCUAUGGGUUGUAAACCUCUUUUUUCAGGGAGGAACAAAAUGACGUGUACCUGAAGAAUAAGCAUCGGCUAACUCCGUGCCAGCAGCCGCGGUAAGACGGAGGAUGCAAGUGUUAUCCGGAAUCACUGGGCGUAAAGCGUCUGUAGGUGGUUUAAUAAGUCGACUGUUAAAUCUUGAAGCUCAACUUCAAAAUCGCAGUCGAAACUAUUAGACUAGAGUAUAGUAGGGGUAAAGGGAAUUUCCAGUGGAGCGGUGAAAUGCGUAGAUAUUGGAAAGAACACCGAUGGCGAAGGCACUUUACUGGGCUAUUACUGACACUCAGAGACGAAAGCUAGGGUAGCAAAUGGGAUUAGAUACCCCAGUAGUCCUAGCCGUAAACAAUGGAUACUAGAUGU